rnacentral:rRNA from 1 species
GACGUAGGGCGCGAGCGUUGUCCGGAUUUAUUGGGCGUAAAGAGCUCGUAGGCGGCUUGUCGCGUCGUCCGUGAAAACUUGGGGCUCAACCCCAAGCUUGCGGUCGAUACGGGCAGGCUAGAGUUCGGUAGGGGAGACUGGAAUUCCUGGUGUAGCGGUGAAAUGCGCAGAUAUCAGGAGGAACACCGGUGGCGAAGGCGGAUCUCUGGGCCUUACCUGACGCUGAGGCGCGAAAGCUAGGGGAGCAAACAGG